rnacentral:lncRNA from 1 species
GUGGUGAAUGGGUCCCAAAUGUCAGAACCGUAUUCUAGUACCGAUAUAACCAUGGCUACAAAUGCCAGCUUUUAACACCUUGGGGGCCCUGGCAUAAGUUUCUAGGAAUCCUAGUAUACAGCUUGUCUUGCUUGUAGUUUCCCCUAUGUGGCUCGUCCUUUUUAGGUCAUCGGGUCUAUGUGUGGAUUUAUUUAGGCUUGCUCUAAUAUAU